AGUGAACGCUGGCGGUAGGCCUAACACAUGCAAGUCGAACGGCAGCACAGUAAGAGCUUGCUCUUACGGGUGGCGAGUGGCGGACGGGUGAGGAAUACAUCGGAAUCUACUUUUUCGUGGGGGAUAACGUAGGGAAACUUACGCUAAUACCGCAUACGACCUACGGGUGAAAGCAGGGGAUCUUCGGACCUUGCGCGAUUGAAUGAGCCGAUGUCGGAUUAGCUAGUUGGCGGGGUAAAGGCCCACCAAGGCGACGAUCCGUAGCUGGUCUGAGAGGAUGAUCAGCCACACUGGAACUGAGACACGGUCCAGACUCCUACGGGAAGCAGCAGUGGGGAAUAUUGGACAAUGGGCGCAAGCCUGAUCCAGCCAUACCGCGUGGGUGAAGAAGGCCUUCGGGUUGUAAAGCCCUUUUGUUGGGAAAGAAAAGCAGCAGGUUAAUACCCCGCUGUUCUGACGGUACCCAAAGGAUAAGCACCGGCUAACUUCGUG
rnacentral:rRNA from 1 species